rnacentral:tRNA from 1 species
CCCCGGAUGGCGAAAUUGGCAGACGCGCACGACUCAAAAUCGUGAGGGAAACCGUGCGGGUUCAAGUCCCGCUCUGGGGACCA